CAGAACACCCUUUAGAUUGAAUAAAGACAAAUCACCUAAACCCUCCAGUCCUGAAAGAAAAACCGCAUGUUAGUUUCAAAAUGACUCAUGUAAACUGUGUUCAUACUAAGUCCUACUCCAUUCAACGCUAUAUUAGAAUAUAUAAGACGCGGAAAUAUUUAAUAGUGUUUACCAACCUGUGUUUUCAAACACAAUCAAAAGAAAAUCAUCGACAUUUCGUCUCUCAAGUCUACUUGGUCAAAUAGAGCACAACAAUGGCUGAACACAUCCGUAAAGGCGAUUCGGGAGCAGGUCCGGUAACUAGAAGCCAGACGCAGUCAAGUACACACACAGAUUUCCAAAAAGGAUCGAUGAAUGCCGAUGAUAAGAAAGUAUGGAUAUCAAACACCGAACGUAUUGUACAAGAUUUUCAAUGGAACCUUGGCGACGUUAUGAUGAAAUUAUAUCAAGCCCACAUUAUAGACUUGAAUGAUAAAACUCGAAUCGAAAGGACAACUAAAGACAAACACGAAGCAGAUGCAGCAAGAGACUUAGUGGAUCUUCUUGCAAAUCGUGGUCCUAAUGUCCUCAGAAGAAUUAUAAACGCCUUGGCACCAACAUAUAACAUAGCAAAAGUCCUAGAAGAUGCAUUAAACAGUUAAAAUUUACAAUUUUCUGUGUCAUGGCUGAUCAUUGUAUAUUUAUCAUUAGUAUUUUGUAUAUCAGUCAAAUCACGAUCUUUUCAAUUUUGUGACAGGCAUUGCGUCAUUUUAGUAAUUUUUUUAUAUUGUAAUCUAAAACUGAAUGAACUAUGUAAAUUAUUUGGAAUGAAUAUAAAUGUAUCACUUUG